GUGCCAGCCGCCGCGGUAAUACGGAGGGCGCAAGCGUUGUUCGGAAUUACUGGGCGUAAAGCGCGUGUAGGCGGCCAGGUAAGUCGGAUGUGAAAGCCCGGGGCCCAACCCCGGAACUGCACCCGAUACUGCCUGGCUGGAGUCCCGGAGAGGAUGGCGGAAUUUCCGGUGUAGAGGUGAAAUUCGUAGAUAUCGGAAGGAACACCAGUGGCGAAGGCGGCCAUCUGGACGGUGACUGACGCUGAGACGCGAAAGCGUGGGGAGCAAACAGGAUUAGAUACCCCCGUAGUCC
rnacentral:rRNA from 1 species